CACAGUGGACGCUGUCGGCUGCUUCGAGGGGGAGAAGGAGGAAGAAGAAGAAGAAGAAGAAGAAGAAGAAGAAGAAGAAGAGGGUGAUGCAAAAACGAGGCAGCAGAUGAGAAAGUGUUGGAGCUGACACUGAAGACUACAACCCCACACUACUUACGGAAGUAGUUUUGUGGUUCCUGUGUCUGGUUUCCUGUGUCGACUCUGCAACAAGUUUUUCCAAAGAGAGACGACAGCACGACACACACACUGCAGGACACGCACACACUACCUGAACCUGCAGAGGAGUCAGAAGAAGCAUGAAGACGAGGACACGCCUGCUGUGACCUCACCUGCUCACACCGUAUCCCAUCAUGCACCUGUUAUCUGACCACAAACAUCUGGAGACGUUCUUCAAGAAGAAGCUAAAUUUGUGGAUCCUGAUCGUGUUUAUGUUGAACUAUUGAUCCAGAUGUGAGGAGAGAAUCUGACAUUAAUGUAAAUAAUGUUAAUAAUAUGAAUGAAAUGACUUAUUCUACUGUUCAUAUCUGAACUGGUUUUACCAAACAACACACCAGAGACAUUUAUUAAUAGAGUACAGACAGAUUCUCUCCAGGGAUCCACGAUACACACAUCAUUGACAUUUGAAAACACACAGUACACACAUAAAAACAAGGCUCAGCAAUACACACAUUUUACUUUAACAACAAACAGACCAAAUUUCAGAACAUGCUCAGGAGCGACUGUUCAAAACAACAACUGACACAACAGUGUUUACAACAUUUGAGGCUGGUGCAGAGGAGAUGAAGGCUGUGCUCCCAGGUCAGUGGGACGUCAGUGACUGAAGGAGGAGCUGAGAGGAGCUCGGACCUGAUCACUGACACCGAGCAGCUCAGAGAGUCUGGGUGAACUCACUGAUCAGUUCUACAGGAGAGUUAGGUGUUAGGUGUUGAGGGCGUUGAGGGCGUUGAACCAGGAUGAGAUGUGGAAGGUGAGGAUGGAUUCAAUCAGUGACCAGUAGACCGGGGUCAAAAUGUCCAUGCUGAGUUUCCUCAGCAGGAGGCGCUGUUGUGCUUUUUGUAAACUAGGUCAGUGAGCAUGGAAAAGAACAGACAGGAGUUUAUCUCUGUUCCACGUAUUUAAAAGACUGAAGCUGCUCCACCUGCUGAAACGGAGCUCAAGGGAAUUUUCUCUAAAUGUGUGACCAGGUUGUGUGAUGGUGUUUGGACGGAGCGUUGUCAGUCGGCUGAGCCACCAGGGCCACGUCGUCCCUUCACUGCUGCAGGAGAUGUUGGUGAAGCAGAGAAGAGAAUGGAGGAUAAAACGCAACCUUGGUUUAAAAUCAGUUUACUGGAUUUAAAACCAUUUAAAAACACCCGAAGGUCCGAAAGGCGGCGCAGCCGAGUGUGAACGGUGUUAUAAUACAACACUAGUGUGAGUCCAAAGUCCAAGAACCAGUCAAGAACCAGAACAUCCAGUGUUUUACAUGUCAACAAGUCACGAGUUCACAAAUGUUAACACACAGUAAACUACAUUAAAUAAAGUAGAGUUAAUAAAGAACAGAUUUAUUCAAGGUACAGAAACAAUAAUAGUUCCUGCUCAAUAACCAGUGUUCAAUAAAUCUGAUGAUUCUUUUUUUAA